rnacentral:rRNA from 1 species
GGAGUCUGGACCGUGUCUCAGUCCCAGUGUGGCGGAUCAUCCUCUCAGACCCGCUACAGAUCGUCGCCUUGGUAGGCCUUUACCCCACCAACUAGCUAAUCUGACUUAGGCUCAUCUAUUAGCGCAAGGUCCGAAGAUCCCCUGCUUUCCCCCGUAGGGCGUAUGCGGUAUUAGCAUUCCUUUCGGAAUGUUGUCCCCCACUAAUAGGCAGAUUCCUAAGCAUUACUCACCCGUCCGCCGCUAGGAAAUGUAGCAAGCUACAUCUCCCCGCUCGACUUGCAUGUGUUAAGCCUGCCGCCAGCGUUCAAU